CUCCUCUUCCCUGUCGUCUCUACAUGACCCAAAGUCCUAAGCCUCUCUUGACGCCCGUGACCCCGUCGAUACCGUCCCUCUGCUCCAGGCCACCAGCGGCAGUGCACAUCCGUCCACAGCGGCCACCGGCGGCGGUCCACAAUCCUCGGCUCCAGGCCGCCGCCGGCUCUUCUGUUCUCCUCCGCGCUCUUCCACCAGCGGCCUCACCUCAGGCCCUCUUCUCUUCACGCACUCCUCGCACUCUGUUCACCUCAGGCCCCUUACCUAACCUCGUCUCUACUCGACGUUCCGUUCCACCGCCGACAACAGCUGUUCAUCACGCUUAGUUUAAUUGCUGGAAGAGCUGCCGAGUGAUCUUGCUCGGUUGCUUUGUUUGCGAGCCGGCCAGGACAAGGGGCAGAUCAGUCGGUCCACAUCAAUCUCAAGGUCGAGGCCAGACAAUAAAAUCAGUAGGGACGGAGGUUGUCAAGACUUAGAGUUGGCGCUAGCGAGUUUGGUGAUUUUGUGGAAGAAUUUUAGUAUUGACUAUAAAUUUGUAGCUAAUGAUUUUAUGAAUGUUGAAGGUGAUGGAUUUGGUAUUGAGUUUGGAUUUAGACGCUCUGAACCAAUAUUGAUUUUUAUUUAAUGAAUAAUAAAAUUA